rnacentral:rRNA from 1 species
GACGAACGCUGGCGGCGUGCCUAAUACAUGCAAGUCGAACGCUUCUUUCCUCCCGAGUGCUUGCACUCAAUUGGAAAGAGGAGUGGCGGACGGGUGAGUAACACGUGGGUAACCUACCCAUCAGAGGGGGAUGACACUUGGAAACAGGUGCUAAUACCGCAUAACAGUUUAUGCCGCAUGGCAUAAGAGUGAAAGGCGCUUUCGGGUGUCGCUGAUGGAUGGACCCGCGGUGCAUUAGCUAGUUGGUGAGGUAACGGCUCACCAAGGCCACGAUGCAUAGCCGACCUGAGAGGGUGAUCGGCCACACUGGGACUGAGACACGGCCCAGACUCCUACGGGAGGCAGCAGUAGGGAAUCUUCGGCAAUGGACGAAAGUCUGGCCGAGCAACGCCGCGUGAGUGAAGAAGGUUUUCGGAUCGUAAAACUCUGUUGUUAGAGAAGAACAAGGACGUUAGUAACUGAACGUCCCCUGACGGUAUCUAACCAGAAAGCCACGGCUAACUACGUG